rnacentral:rRNA from 1 species
UACGGAGGGUGCAAGCGUUAUCCGGAUUCACUGGGUUUAAAGGGUGCGUAGGUGGAGUGGUAAGUCAGUGGUGAAAUCUCCAAGCUUAACUUGGAAACUGCCGUUGAUACUAUCAUUCUUGAAUAUCGUGGAGGUAAGCGGAAUACGUCAUGUAGCGGUGAAAUGCUUAGAUAUGACAUAGAACACCGAUUGCGAAGGCAGCUUGCUACACGAUCAUUGACACUGAGGCACGAAAGCGUGGGGAUCAAACAGG